rnacentral:tRNA from 1 species
GCUCUCGUGGCGCAACCCGGAUAGCGCAUUGGGAUCCUAACCCAAAGGUUGAAGGUUCAAAUCCUUCCGAGAGCG